AGUGAACGCUGGCGGUAGGUCUAACACAUGCUAGUCGAACGGCAGCACAGUAAGAGCUUGCUCUUACGGGUGGCGAGUGGCGGACGGGUGAGGAAUACAUCGGAAUCUGCUUUUUCGUGGGGGAUAACGUAGGGAAACUUACGCUAAUACCGCAUACGACCUACGGGUGAAAUCAGGGGAUCUUCGGACCUUGCGCGAUGGAAUGAGCCGAUGUCGGAUUAGCUAGUUGGCGGGGUAAAGGCCCACCAAGGCGACGAUCCGUAGCUGGUCUGAGAGGAUGAACAGUCACACAGGAACUGAGACCUGUUCCAGACUCGCACGGGAGGCAGAAGCGGGGAAUCUUGGACACUGCGCGCCAGCCUGAUCCAGCCCUCCCGCGUGAGUGAUGAAGCCUCUCGGGUUGUAAAGCCUUUUUGUUGGGAAAGAAAACCAGCAGCUCAAUCCUCCGCUGUUCCGCCGGUACCCAAAGAAUACGCACCGCCUACAUUCGUG
rnacentral:rRNA from 1 species